CUUUGUUAUUUUUGGGUUUUGAAUUGAAAAGCCAAGAAUUUUUGACGUUUUUUUCCCCUUUAACCCUUAGUAGUCACACUGGGUCUCUGAGACCCAUGCCUUUUUUUGACCUGGAAUACGGGUCUCUAAAUUCGGGAAAUUGGGGUUUGUGGCUCCAUCUACCAUGCAUUUGGUUCUUCGACUACAAUAUUGAGCAGGUAGAUUUUCAGUCGAGAGGUUAGUCUCAACGUGGCAGCUGUUGAAAGCGGAUGGUGUAAAAUUCGUGGGUCCGUAAGACCCAGUGUGACUAGAGUGUUGAACAUUUUUUUUUUGGAGCAAUUUUCUUUUCGAGUUUUUUGUGGUGGUAUUUAUUGAGCCGGCAUGGCGUAUUUCUUACGGUCUCGGACAAUUCGUGACGAAUUAAUUGAGGAGGUCGAAGAGCAGCAACCUUUAGGCGAUCCUGCCAGUGACGACGACCAUUUGUCGGAGCAGUCCGAGUUUUCAACCUAUGAUGAAGAAAGUGACGAGGACAUCGAGACGGAGAACGCCGUACUGAGCGCAAGACUCGCAAGUGCAAAAAUAAUUUAUUAGGCAAGAACGGACCAGUGACGGCAGUCAUGUGCCUGGAGGCUCUUAUCCACCACCUCGUGCGACCGCACUUGGAGGAGCGCCUCACGAACAUCACCAUCCGACACGACUUGAAAAUUGGAAUUCGCAAUAUUUUGGGGAUCACAGGCGACUUCCGUAAUAUCAACAACCGUGGCCGACUCGAUAAAAAAAAAAGAUGCAAACUGUGUGGGCCCAAAGUCGAUCGAAAGACACUACAAGUAUGUCCGAGCUGCGACCGCCCCAUGUGCGACGACCACCGAGCGUAUCUGUGCACGCAAUGUGCCACUGGAAUCGAAUAAUUCCUUUCUUUUUUUACAACAAUCUACCAUUAAUGUACAAGCCCCAUUUUUAUUCAUUCUGUAGCCGUAAAUAUUUUUUUUCACAAUAAAAAAUCAAUUUUUCUAUGUGCGCAAA